CAAAUGAAUCGAAUGUCUGAGAAUCCCCUGUUUCUUUGUUCCCUGUUCCACCGCAACACAUUCAUAAAGAUCAAACGGAAAAGAAAGACAUACAUGGUGCCCCUUGAAGUUCAGGAUCCACCACAGCUCCUCCACCUUCUUCAUCUUCGUGAUCCUCGGGCUCAUGGUGAUCGUGGCCAUGUCCAUGCUUAGUGAUCGUGGCCAUGUCCAUGCUUAGUGAUCGUGUCCUUAAUCUUCUUAGCCUUUGCCUUAACUUUCUUCAACACUGACUUCUUCUCAUGAUGCUGCCCAUCUUCUUCCCCUUCCACACCUACAAAGUUACACAUUCCUAACAUUAUAUCUCUACAAAUAAGCAAAGAUUUAGGGAAAACGGCUGUUUACUUCGGUGAAGUGCGACGUUGUGAGGGUCAUGGUGGUGGUGGGCGUGGUGGCGAUGAGGCGCCGUUUGCUGGGACUCCAUGAUGACAGCCGAUGAUACUCCUGACAGAGAGAAUCGUAGAAGAUGGGUAUGAGACAAAGGAUUUAAUAGAAAAUAGAGGGGCUGGCCAGCUUCGCAUGGGUGUGUGGCAGUUCAAGAAGAAGACACGAAGUGGCUGAGGGUGAUAAACACGUAUAUAGGUAUAAGGAUCCUUGUCGGACCUAUUACCAUCCUCGAGUGAACCCACGUUAUUAUCAAAAUAUGCCUAUAAGAUAACUAAUCAACGUCUA